rnacentral:rRNA from 1 species
UACGGGGGGGGCAAGCGUUGUUCGGAAUUACUGGGCGUAAAGGGCUCGUAGGCGGCCAACUAAGUCAGACGUGAAAUCCCUCGGCUUAACCGGGGAACUGCGUCUGAUACUGGAUGGCUUGAAUCCGGGAGAGGGAUGCGGAAUUCCAGGUGUAGCGGUGAAAUGCGUAGAGAUCGGCAGGAACACCAGUGGCGAAGGCGGCCACCUAGCCCGCACCUGACGCUGAGGCGCGACAGCGUGGGGAGCAAACAGG